rnacentral:rRNA from 1 species
UACGGAGGGAGCUAGCGUUAUUCGGAAUUACUGGGCGUAAAGCGCACGUAGGCGGCUUUGUAAGUUAGAGGUGAAAGCCUGGAGCUCAACUCCAGAAUUGCCUUUAAGACUGCAUCGCUUGAAUCCAGGAGAGGUGAGUGGAAUUCCGAGUGUAGAGGUGAAAUUCGUAGAUAUUCGGAAGAACACCAGUGGCGAAGGCGGCUCACUGGACUGGUAUUGACGCUGAGGUGGCGAAAGCGUGGGGAGCAAACA